rnacentral:rRNA from 1 species
GACAGAGGUUGCAAACGUUGUUCGGAAUCACUGGGCAUAAAGCGCACGUAGGCGGUCUGUUAAGUCAGGUGUGAAAGCCCCCGGCUCAACCGGGGAACAGCAUCUGAUACUGGCAGACUCGAGGAUGGUAGGGGUGAGUGGAACUCCAGGUGGAGCGGUGAAAUGCGUAGAUAUCUGGAGGAACACCCGGUGGCGAAAGCGGCUCACUGGACCAUAACUGACGCUGAGGUGCGAAAGCUAGGGUAGCAAACGGGG